UACGUAGGGUGCAAGCGUUAAUCGGAAUUACUGGGCGUAAAGCGUGCGCAGGCGGCGCGUUAAGACAGGUGUGAAAGCCCCGAGCUUAACUUGGGAAUUGCGCUUGUGACUGGCGUGCUGGAGUGUGGCAGAGGGAGGUGGAAUUCCACGUGUAGCAGUGAAAUGCGUAGAGAUGUGGAGGAACACCGAUGGCGAAGGCAGCCUCCUGGGCCAGCACUGACGCUCAUGCACGAAGCGUGGGAGCAACAGG
rnacentral:rRNA from 1 species